rnacentral:rRNA from 1 species
UGGGGAAUAUUGGACAAUGGGCGCAAGCCUGAUCCAGCCAUGCCGCGUGAGUGACGAAGGUCUUCGGAUUGUAAAGCUCUUUUUGGCGGGGACGAUAAUGACGGUACCCGCAGAAUAAGCCCCGGCUAACUUCGUGCCAGCAGCCGCGGUAAUACGAAGGGGGCUAGCGUUGUUCGGAAUCACUGGGCGUAAAGCGCACGUAGGCGGAUUUGUUAGUCAGGGGUGAAAUCCCGGGGCUCAACCUCGGAACUGCCUCUGAUACUGCAAAUCUCGAGUCCGAUAGAGGUGAGUGGAAUUCCUAGUGUAGAGGUGAAAUUCGUAGAUAUUAGGAAGAACACCAGUGGCGAAGGCGGCUCACUGGAUCGGGUACUGACGCUGAGGUGCGAAAGCGUGGGGAGCGAACAGGAUUAGAUACCCCCGUAGUCCCUGAGCGGGCUGGCAAGGCGCAU